rnacentral:rRNA from 1 species
GACGAACCGUGCGAACGUUUUUCGGAAUCACUGGGCUUAAAGGGCGCGUAGGCGGUCUACCAAGUCGGGGUUGAAAUCUUUCGGCUCAACCGGAAAAGUGGCUUCGAUACUGGUAGGCUGGAGGGAGGUAGGGGCAGAUGGAACUUCCGGUGGAGCGGUGAAAUGUGUUGAUAUCGGAAGGAACGCCGGUGGCGAAAGCGCUCUGCUGGACCUCUGCUGACGCUGAGGCGCGGAAGCCGGGGGAGGAAACGGG